rnacentral:ncRNA from 1 species
GGCCUGGUUGAUCUCUGCCAGUAGUCAUAAUGCUUUCUCAAAGAUUAAGCCAUGCAUGUGUAAGUAUGAACUAAUUUCAGACGUGAAACUGGGCGAAUGGCUCAUUAAAUGCAGUUAUUAAGUUUGUUUUGAUGGUAGCUGUACUACUCUCGAUAGACGGUAAGUAAUUCUAGAGCUAAUACGUGCAACAAACCCGGACUUCUGGACAGGGUAUUGCAUUUAUUAGAUAAAAGGUCGACGCGGGCUCUGCCGACUUGCUGGCGGAUGAAUUCAUGAUAACUCGACGGAUCCGCACGCCUAGCGCCGGCGACAGCAUCAAUGUGCCAAUUUCUGGACCUAUCAACUUUCGAUGGUAGGAUAGUGGCCUACCAUGGUGGUGACGGGUGUGACGGAGAAUUAGGGUUCGAUUCCGGAGAGGGAGCCUGAGAACGCUACCAAGCAUCCAAAAGGAGCAGGCAAGGCGCGCAAAUUACCCAAUCCUGACACGGGAGGUAGUGACAAUAAUAACAUGAUACGCGGGCUUCGUAUCGAGUCUGGUAAUGUGAAUGAGUACAAUCUAAAUCCGCUUAACGAGGAUCCAUUUGGAGGGGGCAAGUCUGGUGGCCAGCACCCGGCGGUAAGUUCCAGCUCCAAUAGCGUAUAUUUAAGUUGUUGCAGGUUAAAAAGCUCGUAGUUGGACUUUGGGAUGGCCGGGCCGGUCCGCCCCACGGGUGUGGGCAGCACGGUCGUCUCGUUGUCCUUCUGCCGGCGAUGCGCUGCUGCUGCCAUUAAUUGGCGCGGGUCGUGGCUCCGGCGCUUGGUUUACUUGAAGAAAUUAGAGUGCUCAAAGCAACAGGCCUACGCUCUGUAUGACAUUAGCAAUGGAUAACAUGUAUAAUGGAUUCGGCGCUAAUUACGUUGGCCUUCGGGAUCGGAGUAAUGAUUAACGGGACAGUCGGGGGCAUUCGUAUUUCAAUAGUCAGAGAGGUGAAAU